rnacentral:SRP_RNA from 9 species
GGUAAGCGGCUCCAUUCCCGGAGGGGAGACAUCCAGCCCAGGCAUGUCAAGGACCCUGGAGGAGGCAGAGGG